rnacentral:lncRNA from 1 species
GUGAGUACCGGCUAGUAUCGCGAGAUCAGGAAGGUGGCCGAGUGUGUCGCCGCGGCCAUCAGGCACUUCUCCUUCCUGCCCUUGUAUGAAGAAGGAUGUGUUUGCUUCCCCUUGUGCCAUGAUUGUAAAUUUCCUGAGGCCUCCUCAGCCCUGCAGAACUGGCUAGAGCAAUGUAUCUUAGGCUCACUUAAGGAAGCUGUAGAGAUGAGCCCAAGGAGGGAAACCAGAAGAGCCCCCCAGGCUCACCAGUUGUUUGUUGGCUCCCUACAAACAUGUCAUUCAAGUGGCUAAUCUUACAACAGCACAAAUUCAUCUAACCAGAGAUACUCUAUUAUAGCAAAGAAGAAAGAUAAUUUCAUUGAGCCAUCCUGUUUUACAGUAUUGAAUUAUUACCACAAGGUACCAACCAUAUAUGCAUACUUAAUAGGGUAUUUUGUCAAAACUAUGCAUGAAGGUCAUUUGUUUGAGAUGUCAGAACAUUUUCCCGUGAGAAGAUCUCAUUGGGCAUUGAAACAGAACCACAUGCUCUUCAGACCAGCAACCGCGACUACCAAAUACUCCUCUGUCAACUCUACUUGACACCCAACAGAAUCCCUUCAAAGCCUCGUGGUCUGACACCCUAUGCUACGUGACUUGUGACCCAUCCAUUUGUCAUGUUCUUCGGGAAUGUGGCUAAGGGGCUAAGAUGUGACUUGAAAAGAAAGGUAGAACAAGAUCAUCUCAAAUUUAUUAUCAAGGAAUAGUUCAGAAAACGACUUCAGACCACAGAGACAGCAGAACAGAUGGUCCGGCAUGGAUAGAGCAUCAGACACUCACAGACUGUGCCAACAAGAGCCAUCGAGUCAAAACAGCCAAAGGAAGGAGGGUCAUGGAAUGGGUUCUCUCACACCAAACUGAUGCCCAGAGGCCCUCAGCAUGAAUAACAAAGGCAACCAGACCCACAAGCCAUACUGAGUGGAUACAAAACCUAUACCUAGGCUGACAUCCCAAAUGUGUGUGGCAAGUUAGAUGAUGAUGGCACAAAAGACAGAACACCUUGCUUCUGGCCAUUGUCAGCUCUUGGAAGAGAGCACACUUUUAGAGGAGCAGCUGCAAGGAGCCUGAGAACAAAACUGGAAAUGUCUGUUAUGAAAGCCUUCACAGGAAAUUCUGCAAGUGGCAACGUGGGUCCAUUCCGUGUGUGUCACUAGAGCUGGCGCAAGCCCAUGGCCAUGGUGAGGCAGCGUUUCCACUGGAACUAAUCUGAUACCUGCACCAGCUCUUGCAACUGUGCAGUGUUCCCACUGCAAACUACGGAUGGGGUAAAAGACUGCUCACCUCCUAUUUCUCAUCUAAUCUCACACACUCUGUUUGAUGAGGCUAUGGAGAAACAGGUCUUCUCAUACACUAAAGGUGGGAGUACAAACAAUUCAAGCCCUGUGCAGGACAAUUAGGCAAUACCUAUCAAAAUUAUACAUGAUUUUUCCUGCUGACCCAGCAAUUCCACUUCUGGGAAUAAUUGACAGAUAUAGGUGCAUAUGUACAAAAUGAUGGAAAGCUCUCUGGUAUAUAUUAGUAAGUGAUAAAACAAGGUGUAAAAUAGUGUAUAUAUGGCUACUACCUUUUGUUUUAAAAAUGGGGGAAAAUGGUGGAGCUUGCGGUGAGCCGAGAUCGUGCCACUGCACUCCAGCCUGGGCGACAGAGCGAGACUCCGUCUCAAAAAAAAAACAGGGUGGGGUGGGGGGGAAAUAAUAGUACAUACUCAUAUUUACCUGUAUCUAUAUAAAACACACUAUCAAGGAUUCACAAGAAACUAAUACAAAUGAUCACCUUAUAGAUGGUAUGUAUUGGGGGAUACUGAGGUGAGCAGGGUAUAAGUGGGGCAAGACUUUUCAGUGUAAACUUCUUUUAAAUUUUAUUUUGAUUUUUGAAUAAUGUAAAUUAACUGUCAAAUAAUUAAAUUAAAAAUAACCAAUUUAUUAACAAAA